UUUCUUUGCUGGCGACCGGCGCACGGGUGAGUAACACGUAUCCAACCUGCCCUUUACUCGGGGAUAGCCUUUCGAAAGAAAGAUUAAUACCCGAUAGCAUAAUGAUUCCGCAUGGUUUCAUUAUUAAAGGAUUCCGGUAAAGGAUGGGGAUGCGUUCCAUUAGAUAGUAGGCGGGGUAACGGCCCACCUAGUCUUCGAUGGAUAGGGGUUCUGAGAGGAAGGUCCCCCACAUUGGAACUGAGACACGGUCCAA
rnacentral:rRNA from 1 species